rnacentral:rRNA from 1 species
AGUGGAUGGGGAGCAACCUAGUUGUGCGUGUGUAAAGGUAGUGCCAAGAAAAGCGGUGAUCAUGAUGAAAAUCAAUUCCCGGUACCCGAAACCGACACAGGUGGGCAAGUAGAGAAUACUAAGGGGCGCGAGGUAACUCUCUCCAAGGAACUCGGCAAAAUGACCCCGUAACUUAGGGAGAAGGGGUGCCACCGAGAGGUGGUCGCAGUGAAGAGGCCCAGGCGACUGUUUAGCAAAAACAUAGGUCUCUGCAAACUCGAAAGAGGAGGUAUAGGGGCUGACGCCUGCCCAGUGCCGGAAGGUUAAAGAAGUUGGUCAGUCUUAGGAUAAAGCUAGCGACUGAAGCCCCGGUGAACGGCGGCCGUAACUAUAACGGUCCUAAGGUAGCGAAAUUCCUUGUCGGGUAAGUUCCGACCCGCACGAAAGGCGUAACGAUCUGGGCGCUGUCUCGGAGAGAGGCUCGGCGAAAUAGGAUUGUCUGUGAAGAUACGGACUACCUGCAUUUGGACAGAAAGACCCUAUGAAGCUUUACUAUAGCUUGGAAUUGUGUUCGGGCUUCCUGUGCGCAGGAUAGGUGGGAGGCGAAGAAGGUAUUCUUGUGGGGAUACUGGAGCCAACGGUGAGAUACCACUCUCAGGAGGCUAGAAUUCUAACUUAAUUAAGGACAGUUUCAGGUGGGUAGUUUGACUGGGGCGGUCGCCUCCAAAAAGGUAACGGAGGCGUACAAAGGUUCCCUCAGACUGGUUGGAAAUCAGUCGCAGAGUGCAAAGGCAGAAGGGAGCUUGACUGCGAGAAGUACAGUUCGAGCAGGGUGGAAACACGGUCUUAGUGAUCCGACGGUGCUGUGUGGAAGGGCCGUCGCUCAACGGAUAAAAGUUACUCUAGGAUAACAGGCUGAUCUCCCCCAAGAGUUCACAUCGACGGGGAGGUUUGGCACCUCGAUGUCGGCUCAUCGCAACCUGGGGCGGAAGUACGUCCCAAGGGUUGGGCUGUUCGCCCAUUAAAGCGGUACGUGAGCUGGUUUCAGAACGUCGUGAGACAGUUCGGUCCAUAUCCGAUGUAGGCGUGAGAAUAUUGAGAGGAGCCUUCCUUAGUACGAGAGGACCGGGAAGGACGCACCGCUGGUGUACCUGUUAUGAUGCCAAUUGUAAACGCAGGGUAGCCAAGUGCGGAGAGGAUAACCGCUGAAAGCAUCUAAGUGGGAAGCCCACCUCAAGAUGAGUAUUCUGGUGUAAGGUCACGGGAAGACGACCCGUAAAUAGGCACGAGGUGGAAGUGCAGAGAUGUAUGAAGCCGAAGCGUACUAAUAGACCGUCGGCUUGACCAG